AUACAAUGGGCAGCGACAUCGUGAGGUGAAGCGAAUCCCUGAAAGUCGGCCUUAGUUCGGAUUGGGGUCUGCAACUCGACCCCAUGAAGUCGGAGUCGCUAGUAAUCGCAGAUCAGCAACGCUGCGGUGAAUACGUUCCCGGGCCUUGUACACACCGCCCGUCACGUCAUGAAAGUUGGUAACACCCGAAGCC
rnacentral:rRNA from 1 species